GCUGGCGGCAGGCUUAACACAUGCAAGUCGAACGAGGUUAGAAAGCUUGCUUUUGAUACCUAGUGGCGGACGGGUGAGUAAUGCUUAGGAAUCUGCCUAGUAGUGGGGGAUAACUUGGGGAAACUCANGCUAAUACCGCAUACGACCUACGGGUGAAAGGGGGCGCAAGCUCUCGCUAUUAGAUGAGCCUAAGUCGGAUUAGCUAGUUGGUGGGGUAAAGGCCUACCAAGGCGACGAUCUGUAGCUGGUCUGAGAGGAUGAUCAGCCACACUGGGACUGAGACACGGCCCAGACUCCUACGGGAGGCAGCAGUGGGGAAUAUUGGACAAUGGGCGAAAGCCUGAUCCAGCCAUGCCGCGUGUGUGAAGAAGGCCUUUUGGUUGUAAAGCACUUUAAGUGGGGAGGAAAAGUUAAUGGUUAAUACCCAUUAGCCCUGACGUUACCCACAGAAUAAGCACCGGCUAACUCUGUGCCAGCAGCCGCGGUAAUACAGAGGGUGCAAGCGUUAAUCGGAAUUACUGGGCGUAAAGCGCGCGUAGGUGGUUACUUAAGUCAGAUGUGAA
rnacentral:rRNA from 1 species